rnacentral:rRNA from 1 species
UACGAAGGGGGCUAGCGUUGCUCGGAAUCACUGGGCGUAAAGCGCACGUAGGCGGAUUGUUAAGUCAGGGGUGAAAUCCUGGAGCUCAACUCCAGAACUGCCUUUGAUACUGGCGAUCUCGAGUCCGGGAGAGGUGAGUGGAACUCCGAGUGUAGAGGUGAAAUUCGUAGAUAUUCGGAAGAACACCAGUGGCGAAGGCGGCUCACUGGCCCGGUACUGACGCUGAC